GCCAGUGUGGCACAGUGGGUUUUAUUGUUGGACUAAUACUCCAGGAGACAAGGGUUCAAAUCCCCACUUAGCUA